AGCUCAUCUGAUGGUAGUGGGUUAUUAGAACUUAUUAACACUCAUGUCACUAAAGUUGGUAUACAACUUCCCACUGCUAAAUUUGACUGGCUUUAA
rnacentral:Y_RNA from 1 species